rnacentral:rRNA from 1 species
UACGGAGGGUGCAAGCGUUAUCCGGAUUUACUGGGUUUAAAGGGUGCGCAGGCGGAUAUGUAAGUCAGUGGUGAAAUCUCCGGGCUUAACCCGGAAACUGCCGUUGAUACUAUAUAUCUUGAAUGCUGUGGAGGUAAGCAGAAUAUGUCAUGUAGCGGUGAAAUGCUUAGAUAUCUGGAGGAACACCCGUGGCGAAGGCGGCUCUCUGGUCCGAAACUGACGCUGAGGUGCGAAAGCUAGGGUAGCAAACAGG